AGCAGUAGCCGCGGGAAUACGUAGGUGGCAAGCGUUGUCCGGAAUUAUUGGGCGUAAAGGGCUCGCAGGCGGUUUCUUAAGUCUGAUGUGAAAGCCCCCGGCUCAACCGGGGAGGGUCAUUAGAAACUGGGAAACUUGAGUGCAGAAGAGGAGAGUGGAAUUCCACGUGUAGCGGUGAAAUGCGUAGAGAUGUGGAGGAACACCAGUGGCGAAGGCGACUCUCUGGUCUGUAACUGACGCUGAGGAGCGAAAGUGUGGGGAGCGAACAGGAUUAGAUACCCCAGUAGUCCCUGUCUCUUAUAC
rnacentral:rRNA from 1 species